ACUUAUUAUUUUGUUUGCAUUUUACAGGACAUAUCUUUAUGAAAAGGAAGAUUUAUGGAAAAGUGUUCCGUGUUACAUCAUAGUCCUGGUUCUUGUCUUUAUGAUGAGGAAGAUUUAGGCAUGAUAGUCUUCGUGAUGAGGAUGGCAUAUAAUUGGCAGGUUUUUGGUGAUGCACCAUAGUUCUGGACAGGAUGUUGUCUUUAUGAUGAAGAAUAGUAUUAUGUGAUUCAUCAUAGCUCUGCUUUCGAAAACUAUAGGGUUAAGAAAUCCAACGAAGAGUCGGCGU